CUUUAUUCCCUAAAUUAGUAAACUAAUCCUCUUGGAUCCCUACCGCACCAAAUCGCCCCUAUCAUCCGCUCCACCACACGACGGCGUCCUCGCUGCCGUUCGCGGCGGCGAUCCACCACCAACCGCAUCCAUGUUGCUGGCGGUGCUGCCCCCACUGACCUGGCCUGCCCCCACGCGACAUCAACCCUGUGGCCCCGAUGUGACGGUGAGACUUGGCGCUGCACUGAUGCGAGGAAGAUUCGACGGCCUCAAAGUUGUUCUGUUGUGACGAUGAAUUUGGUGCUGCCCACGCAACGGCGUCCCAGCAGCCACAUCGCUGAUCGAUGUGAUGGCGACCUGGCAGCAUAGGCGCUGCUUGCUUCACUGAAUAUUGCAAAGUAAUGCACCUAACAGAGUACUAGCAGAGAACGUUGCUGAUGCACUACACCUUGUUUGUGUUAUGUGGCUGUGAGGUUCCUGCUGUCCAAGCCUUGUUUGUUUUUGUUGUUGCAGCCAUGUAAUGCAUCUCUUCUAAUUUCUGAUGUAAUCCUUUGGUGUAUGAUAUUCUAUAUUGAAUAUAAUUUGAUUUUGUUUGAUUCUGUGGUUGUGAAUUCGUUGGAGAAAAUUGCCAAACUGAUGGAUCUUGCCAUGAUUAGGUUUAUCCAAAUUAAAGAUUCAAUUAUCAUAGGAUACGCAAACAAAAGCUUCGUCAAUCAGACUCACAACGGCCAAACUUACAAAAUACCAAGGCAAGACAGAACAAUACUACUUCUCUGUAACAAUUUGAAGAUUGGCUCGCAACGCAAAUAGCGGCAAGAAAGGAGAGUAGGGCGUUUUGGUGUCCAUGCUCAUUUGCAUCCGGUUAGAAAAAAUCGUAAAUUUUUUAAAAUAACUCAAAAAAUUCCAAAAAAAAUUAUGCAGUAGACAAUUUGAUGUGUAAGGCUCGCUCCAAAUUUCAAGUCAUUUGGGCAUGUGAGCAGCUCUUAGCAAAAAAGACAAAUCGAGCCAAAACAGUACUUAAACAGUAAACUUUUUUACGGACCCUCAAUUUGUCUUUUUUGCUGAGAGAUGCUCAGAUGUCCAAAUGACUUAAAAUUUUGCGCGGGCUUAAUGCAUCAACUUGUCUACUGCCAAAAAAAAUUGGAAAUUUUUGAAUCUUUCUAGUAUUUGUUUUGAUUUUUUUUUGUCAGCGCGGUUGCGGACGAGCUCGGGUGCAGAGAUGGAUUUUCAGAGCAAGACUUCCUUUUCCAAAAUAAGAAAGAACUAGACUUCUAUAAGAAGAUUUUUAUAAUCGUAGAAAGUCUAAAUGGGAUGAAUAUUACCGAAUACAACCAAACAGUGCAUCAUCAAAAAAAAGCAUAAUCAAUACAAUUUCUAAGCUCCCAGGGAAUGCAUCGAUCUGGGAGGUUGCAGAUUUAACUUUGCUUCUUCUCUUCGUUGGCUCCCCGCGUUAAGAAAUUAUUUUUUACCGCUCGGCUCGGUCAGCCACCGGUUUGGCUAUCUGUUGCGACCAUGUUGUGCGGCCUUGCACAGUUAUGCGUUAUUGCGGUAUAGGACGUCGAGGAGGGGAUCAAAGGUUCGACUAAGCUGCUUCCCCCUGUUUUCCGGUUGUUCGAGGGUUUGACCAUGCAGCACCGAUACUGGCGGCUGUUCGGUGGCCACGUUGGUGCUUGCAAAGCGUUGUCCCCUACCCCCAGCCUUCUUGUUUUGCUCACCCGUCCUCGCCUCCUUCUCUUGCCGCGGUUGGCGCCUCACUCUUCCAUCAUUCACCUCCUCUCUCCUUCCACCUUGCGGCUUUCCCAAGUCCGAUGGACCCCCAUGCCACAAGAAAUGGAUACGCCGACUAAUCACAUCACGUAGUGUCGCUACCUCCCCGUCCGGGAGAUUUCCCUACUUGUCAGAUUCCAGCUCCUAUCGUCUUGAUGCCCUUGCUGGCCGAUCACACCUCCUACUGAACCACUAUAGUCGGCUAUGGUGUUAUGCAACCAGCCACCACAAGCAACCAAUCCGCCACAAUCAGAAGGAUAUGAGGAUAUGUGUGGGUUGCAAUUGGGCGCAUUAGAUUCGGAUACUUUAUAUUUUCAGUUCUCAAUAAUCAUGCACUCCCACCAAUGAAUUUUAUUUUUACUGCGCCUAUGAGCAGGUUGGGGAAAGAGGUGUGUAGAAUGGUUGCUUACAGUUUGUGAGGUCUAGGGUUUGUAUUUAGUCAUGGCCAUGGAUUCGAGCUACAAGCAGGGAUUACACGAGGAAUUGCUCUCGCAGGAGCCACACACCACACACGCUACCUAGUCGUUAUCCUCUCGCCGCCUUCGUCUGCCUUGAACUGGAGUAUAUGUAGCGAAACGUUCUAGGCCCAUUCUGGCCCAGCUAGCCGAGUCGGGAGGCGAGGCUGCCUCCUGGGCCUGCACGCCUCGUCAGCUAGCUUCUGGCCCACCACAGGUUCGCUGACAAUCCCACCCUCUUUAGAAACGGCUUGACCCCAAGCCGGUGCCCGCGGAAAUUUUUGCUGCAGUGUCACCUUGUCCUCCCAGGUGGCCAUGUCGAUUGGAGUUGCACUCCACUUAACCAGUACUUGAACCAGAGACCCGGAUCCUCGGCGAACCACUCUUUGAUCCAAGAUCUGCUCAAGGAUUUGAAACUAAUCAUCAGGAUUAGGUAGUUGAGGCUGUUGGGGAAUCGCAGUAAUUUCAAAAAAGUUCCUACGUACACGCAAGAUCAUGGUGAUGGCAUAGCAACGAGAGGGGAGAGUGUUGUCCACGUACCCUCGUAGACCGUAAGCGGAAGCGUUAUGACAACGCGGUUGAUGUAGUCGUACGUCUUCACGAUCCGACCGAUCCAAGUACCGAACGUACGGCACCUCCGAGUUCAGCACACGUUCAGCUCGAUGGCGAUCCCCGGGCUCCGAUCCAGCAAAGCUUCGGGGAUGAGUUCCGUCAGCACGACGGCGUGGUGACGAUGAUAAUGCUCUACCGGCGCAGGGCUUUGCCUAAACUCCGCGACGAUAUGACCGAGGUGGAAUAUGGUGGAGGGGGGCACCGCACACGGCUAAGGAACGAUCCGUAGAUCAACUUGUGUGUCUAUGGGGUGCCCCCUGCCCCCGUAUAUAAAGGAGCCAGGGGGGAGGAGGCGGCCGGCCAAGGAGGGCGCGCCAAGGGGGGAGUCCUACUCCCACCGGGAGUAGGACUCCCUUCUUUCCUAGUUGGAAUAGGAGAAGGGGGGAAAGAGGAGGAAGAGGGGAAGGAAAGGGGGGGCGCCGCCCCCCUUCCCUUGUCCUAUUCGGACUAGGAAGGGGAGGGGCGCGCGGCCCCCUCCUGUCUCCUUCUCUCUUCUCCCUCGAGGCCCAUGUAGGCCCAAUAACCCCCGGGGGGGUUCCGGUAACCUCCCGGUACUUUGGUAAAAUGUCGAUUUCACCCGGAACGAUUCCGAUGUCCAAAUAUAGGCUUCCAAUAUAUCGAUCUUUAUGUCUCGACCAUUUCGAGACUCCUCGUUACGUCCGUGAUCACAUCCGGGACUCCAAACAAACUUCGGUACAUCAAAAAUUAUAAACUCAUAAUAAAACUAUCAUCGUAACGUUAAGCGUGCGGACCCUACGGGUUCGAGAACUAUGUAGACAUGACCUAGAACUAUUCUCGCUCAAUAACCAAUAGCGGAACCUGGAUGCCCAUAUUGGUUCCUACAUAUUCUACGAAGAUCUUUAUCGGUCAAACCGCAUAACAACAUACGUUGUUCCCUUUGUCAUCGGUAUGUUACUUGCCCGAGAUUUGAACGUCGGUAUCCAAUACCUAGUUCAAUCUCGUUACCGGCAAGUCUCUUUACUCGUUUCGUAAUGCAACAUUCCGUAACCAACUCAUUUGGUCACAUUGCUUGCAAGGCUUAUAAUGAUGUGCAUUACCGAGAGGGCCCAGAGAUACCUCUCCGACAAUCGGAGUGACAAAACCUAAUCUCGAAAUACGCCAACUCAACAUGUACCUUCGGAGACACCUGUAGUACUCCUUUAUAAUCACCUAGUUACGUUGUGACGUUUGGUAGUACCCAAAGUGUUCCUCCGGUAAACGGGAGUUGCAUAAUUCUCAUAGUUACAGGAACAUGUAUAAGUCAUGAAGAAAGCAAUAGCAAUAUACUAAACGAUCAAGUGCUAGGCUAACGGAAUGGGUCAUGUCAAUCACAUCAUUCUCCUAAUGAUGUGAUCCCAUUAAUCAAAUGACAACACAUGUCUAUGGUUAGGAAACAUAAUCAUCUUUGAUUAAUGAGCUAGUCAAGUAGAGGCAUACUAGUGACUAUAUGUUUGUCUAUGUAUUCACACAUGUAUCAUGUUUCCGAUUAAUACAAUUCUAGCAUGAAUAAUAAACAUUUAUCAUGAUAUGAGGAAAAAACAAUAACUUUUUUAUUGCCUCUAGGGCAUAUUUCCUUCAGUCUCCCACUUGCACUAGAAUCAAUAAUCUAGAUUACAUAGUAAUGAUUCUAACACCCAUGGAGUCUUAGUGUUGAUCAUGUUUUGCUCGUGACAGUGGCUUAGUCAACGGGUCUGCAACAUUCAGAUCCGUAUGUAUCUUGCAAAUCUCUAUGUCUCCCACUUGGACUUGGUCCCGAAUGGAAUUGAAGCGUCUCUUGAUGUGCUUGGUCCUCUUGUGAAAUCUGGAUUCCUUUGCCAAGGCAAUUGCACCAAUAUUGUCACAGAAGAUUUUCAUUAGUCCCGAUGCACUAGGUAUGACACCUAGAUCGGAAAUGAACUCCUUCAUCCAGACUCCUUCAUUUGCUGCUUCCGAAGCAGCUAUGUACUCCGCUUCACAUGUAGAUCCUGCCACGACGCUUUGUUUAGAACUGCACCAACUUACAGCUCCACCGUUUAAUAAAAACACGUAUCCGGUUUGGGAUUUAGAAUCGUCCGGAUCAGUGUCAAAGCUUGCAUCGACGUAAUCAUUUACGACUAGCUCUUUGUCACCUCCAUAUACGAGAAACAUAUCCUUAGUCCUUUUCAGGUAUUUCAGGAUGUUCUUGACCGCUGUCCAGUGAUCCACUCCUGGAUUACUUUGGUACCUUCCUGCCAAGCUUAUUGCUAAGCAUACGUCAGGUCUGAUACACAGCAUUGCAUACAUGAUAGAGCCUAUGGCUGAAGCAUAGGGAACAUCUUUCAUUUUCUCUCUAUCUUCUGCUGUGGUCGGGCAUUGAGUUUGACUCAACUUCACACCUUGUAGUACGGGCAAGAACCCUUUCUUUGCCUGAUCCAUUUUGAACUUUUUCAAAAUUUUAUCAAGGUAUGUGCUUUGUGAAAGUCCUAUUAAGCGUCUUGAUCUAUCUCUAUAGAUCUUGAUGCCCAAUAUGUAAGCAGCUUCACCGAGGUCUUUCAUUGAAAAACUUUUAUUCAAGUAUCCUUUUAUGCUAUCCAGAAAUUCUAUAUCAUUUCCAAUUAAUAAUAUGUCAUCUACAUAUAAUAUCAGAAAUGCUACAGAGCUCCCACUCACUUUCUUGUAAAUACAGGCUUCUCCAAAAGUCUGUAUAAAACCAUAUGCUUUGAUCACACUAUCAAAGCGUUUAUUCCAACUCCGAGAUGCUUGCACCAGUCCAUAAAUGGAACGCUAGAGCUUGCACACUUUGUUAGCACCUUUUGGAUCAACAAAACCUUCUGGCUGCAUCAUAUACAACUCUUCUUCCAGAAAUCCAUUCAAGAAUGCAGUUUUGACAUCCAUUUGCCAAAUUUCAUAAUCAUGAAAUGCAGCAAUAACCAACAUGAUUCGAACAGACUUAAGCAUCGCUACGGGUGAUAAAGUCUCAUCGUAGUCAACUCCUUGAACUUGUCGAAAACCUUUCGCAACAAGUCGAGCUUUAUAGACAGUUACAUUACCAUCUGUGUCAGUCUUCUUCUUAAAGAUCCAUUUAUUCUCAAUUGCUUGCCGAUCAUCGGGCAAGUCAACCAAAGUCCAUACUUUGUUUUCAUACAUGGAUCCCAUCUCAGAUUUCAUGGCCUCUAGCCAUUUUGCGGAAUCUGGGCUCAUCAUCGCUUCCUCAUAGUUCGUAGGUUCAUCAUGGUCAAGCAACAUGACUUCCAGAAUUGGAUUACCGUACCACUCUGGUGCGGAUCUUACUCUGGUAGACCUACGAGGUUCAGUAGAAACUUGAUCUGAAGUUUCAUGAUCAAUAUCAUUAGCUUCCUCACUAAUUGGUGUAGUUGUCACAGGAACCGGUUCUUGUGAUGAACUACUUAAUAAGGGAGUAGAUACAGUUAUCUCAUCAAGUUCUACUUUCCUCCCACUCACUUCUUUCGAGAGAAACUCCUUCUCUAGAAAGGAUCCGAUUUUAGCAACGAAAAUCUUGCCCUCAGAUCUGUGAUAGAAGGUGUACCCAAUAGUCUCUUUUGGGUAUCCUAUGAAGACACAUUUCUCCGAUUUGGGUUCGAGCUUAUCUGGUUGAAGUUUCUUCACAUAAGCAUCGCAGCCCCAAACUUUAAGAAACGACAACUUUGGAUUCUUGCCAAACCACAGUUCAUAAGGCGUCGUCUCAACGGAUUUUGAUGGUGCCCUAUUUAACGUGAAUGCGGCCGUCUCUAAAGCAUAACCACAAAACGAUAGCGGUAAAUCAGUAAGAGACAUCAUAGAUCACACCAUAUCUAGUAAAGAAUGAUUACGACGUUCGGACACACCAUUUCGUUGUGGUGUUCCGGAUGGCGUGAGUUGCGAAACUAUUCCGCAUUGUUUCAAGUGUAGACCAAACUCGUAACUCAAAUAUUCUCCUCCACGAUCAGAUCGUAGAAAUUUUAUUUUCUUGUUACGAUGAUUUUCCACUUCACUCCGAAAUUCUUUGAACUUUUCAAAUGUUUCAGACUUGUGUUUCAUCAAGUAGAUAUACCCAUGUCUGCUCAAAUCAUCUGUGAAGGUGAGAAAAUAACGAUACCCGCCACGAGCCUCAACAUUCAUUGGACCACAAACAUCAGUAUGUAUGAUUUCCAACAAAUCAGUUGCUCGCUCCAUAGUUCCGGAGAACGGCGUUUUAGUCAUCUUGCCCAUGAGGCACGGUUCGCAAGUACCAAGUGAUUCAUAAUCAAGUGAUUCCAAAAGCCCAUCAGUAUGGAGUUUCUUCAUGCGCUUUACACCGAUAUGACCUAAACGGCAGUGCCACAAAUAAGUUGCACUAUCGUUAUCAACUCUACAUCUUUUGGUUUCAACACUAUGAAUAUGUGUAUCACUACUAUCGAGAUUCAAUAAAAAUAGACCACUUUUCAAGGGUGCAUGACCAUAAAAGAUAUUACUCAUAUAAAUAGAACAACCAUUAUUCUCUGAUUUAAAUGAAUAACCGUCUCGCAUCAAACAAGAUCCAGAUAUAAUGUUUAUGCUCAACGCUGGCACCAAAUAACAAUUAUUUAGGUCUAAAACUAAUCCCGAUGGUAGAUGUAGAGGUAGCGUACCGACCGCGAUCACAUCGACUUUGGAACCAUUUCCCACGCGCAUCGUCACCUCGUCCUUAGCCAAUCUUCGCAUAAUUCGUAGUCCCUGUUUCGAGUUGCAAAUAUUAGCAACAGAACCAGUAUCAAAUACCCAGGUGCUACUGCGAGCAUUAGUAAGGUACACAUCAAUAACAUGUAUAUCACAUAUACCUUUCUUCACUUUGCCAUCCUUCUUAUCCGCCAAAUACUUGGGGCAGUUCCGCUUCCAGUGUCCAGUCUGCUUGCAGUAGAAGCACUCAGUUUCAGGCUUAGGUCCAGACUUGGGUUUCUUCUCUUGAGCAGCAACUUGCUUGCUGUUCUUUUUCAAGUUCCCCUUCUUCUUCCCUUUGCCCUUUUUCUUGAAACUGGUGGUCUUGUUAACCAUCAACACUUGAUGCUCCUUCUUGAUUUCUACCUCCGCGGCUUUUAGCAUCGCGAAGAGCUCGGGAAUAGUCUUGUUCAUCCCUUGCAUAUUAUAGUUCAUCACGAAGCUCUUGUAGCUUGGUGGCAGUGAUUGAAGAAUUCUGUCAAUGACACUAUCAUCAGGAAGAUUAACUCCCAGUUGAAUCAAGUGAUUAUUAUACCCAGACAUUUUGAGUAUAUGUUCACUGACAGAACUAUUCUCCUCCAUCUUGCAGCUAUAGAACUUAUUGGAGACUACAUAUCUCUCAAUCCGGGCAUUUGCUUGAAAUAUUAACUUCAACUCCUGGAACAUCUCAUAUGCUCCAUGACGUUCAAAACGUCGUUGAAGACCCGGUUCUAAGCCGUAAAGCAUGGCACACUGAACUAUCGAGUAGUCAUCAGCUUUGCUCUGCCAGACGUUCUUAAUGUCGUCAAUUGCAUCAGCAGCAGGCCUGGCACCCAACGGUGCUUCUAGGACGUAACUUUUCUGUGCAGCAAUGAGGAUAAUCCUCAGGUUACGGACCCAGUCCGUGUAAUUGCUACCAUCAUCUUUCAACUUUGCUUUCUCAAGGAACGCAUUAAAAUUCAACGGAACAACAGCACGAGCCAUCUAUCUACAAACAAACAUAGACAAGCAAAAUACUAUCAGGUACUAAGUUCAUGAUAAAUUUAAGUUCAAUUAAUCAUAUUACUUAAGAACUCCCACUUAGACAGACAUCUCUCUAGUCAUCUAAGUGAUCACCUGAUCCAAAUCAACUAAACCAUGUCCGAUCAUCAUGUGAGAUGGAGUAGUUUCAAUGGUGAACAUCACUAUGUUGAUCAUAUCUACUAUAUGAUUCACGUUCGACCUUUCGGUCUCCGUGUUCCGAGGCCAUAUCUGUAUAUGCUAGGCUCGUCAAGUAUGACUUGAGUAUUCCGCGUGUGCAACUGUUUUGCACCCGUUGUAUUUGAACGUAGAGCCUAUCACACCCGAUCAUCACGUGGUGUCUCAGCACGAAGAACUUUCGCAACGGUGCAUACUCAGGGAGAACACUUCUUGAUUAUUAGUGAGAGAUCAUCUUAAAAUGCUACCAUCAAUCAAAGCAAGAUAAGAUGCAUAAAGGAUAAACAUCACAUGCAAUCAAUAUAAGUGAUAUGAUAUGGCCAUCAUCAUCUUGUGCUUGUGAUCUCCAUCUUCUAAGCACCGUCGUGAUCACCAUCGUCACCGGCGCGACACCUUGAUCUCCAUCGUAGCAUCGUUGUCGUUACGCCAUCUAUUGCUUCUACGACUAUCGCUACCGCUUAGAGAUAAAGUAAAGCAAUUACAGGGCGUUUGCAUUUCAUACAAUAAAGCGACAACCAUAUGGCUCCUGCCAGUUGCCGAUAACUUCGGUUACAAAACAUGAUCAUCUCAUACAAUAAAAUAUAGCAUCACGUCUUGACCAUAUCACAUCACAACAUGCCCUACAAAAACAAGUUAGACGUCCUCUACUUUGUUGUUGCAAAUUUUACGUGGCUGCUACGGGCUUUAGGAAGAACCGUUCUUACCUACGCAUAAAAACCACAACGAUAGUUCGUCAAGUUGGUGCUGUUUUAACCUUCGCAAGGACCGGGCGUAGCCACACUCGAUUCAGCUAAAGUGAGAGAGACAGACACCCGCCAGCCACCUUUAAGCACGAGUGCUCGUAACGGUGAAACUAGUCUCGCGUAAGCGUACACGUAAUGUCGGUCCGGGCCGCUUCAUCUCACAAUACCGCCGAACCAAAGUAUGACAUGCUGGUAAGCAGUAUGACUUGCAUCGCCCACAACUCACUUGUGUUCUACUCGUGCAUAUAACAUCAACGCAUAAAACCUGGCUCGGAUGCCACUGUUGGGGAACGUAGUAAUUUCAAAAAGUUUCCUACGUACACGCAAGAUCAUGGUGAUGGCAUAGAAACGAGAGGGGAGAGUGUUGUCCACGUACCCUCAUAGACCGUAAGCGGAAGUGUUAUGACAACGCGGUUGAUGUAGUCGUACGUCUUCACGAUCCGACCGAUCCAAGUACCGAACGUACGGCACCUCCGAGUUCAGCACACGUUCAGCUCGAUGACGAUCCCCGGGCUCCGAUCCAGCAAAGCUUCAGGGAUGAGUUCCGUCAGCACGACAGCGUGGUGACGAUGAUGAUGCUCUACCGACGCAGGGCUUCGCCUAAACUCCGCUACGAUAUGACCGAGGUGGAAUAUGGUGGAGGGGGCACCGCACACGGCUAAGGAACGAUCCGUAGAUCAACUUGUGUGUCUAUGGGGUGCCCCCUGCCCCCGUAUAUAAAGGAGCCAAGGGGGAGGAGGCGGCCGGCCAAGGAGGGCGCGCCAAGGGGGGAGUCCUACUCCCAUCGGGAUUAGGACUCCCUUCUUUCCUAGUUGGAAUAGGAGAAGGGGGGAAAGAGGAGGAAGAGGGGAAGGAAAGGGGGGGCGCCCCCUUCCCUUGUCCUAUUCGGACUAGGAAGGGGAGGGGCGCGCGGCCCCCUCCUGUCUCCUUCCCUCUUCUCCCUCGAGGCCCAUGUAGGCCCAAUAACCCCCGGGGGGGGUCCUGUAACCUCCCGGUACUCCGGUAAAAUGCCGAUUUCACCCGGAACGAUUCCGAUGUCCAAAUAUAGGCUUCCAAUAUAUCAAUCUUUAUGUCUCGACCAUUUCGAGACUCCUCGUUACGUCCGUGAUCACAUCCGGGACUCCGAACAAACUUCGUUACAUCAAAACUUAUAAACUCAUAAUAAAACUGUCAUCGUAACGUUAAGCGUGCGGACCCUGCGGGUUCGAGAACUAUGUAGACAUGACCUAGAACUAUUCUCGGUCAAUAACCAAUAGCGGAACCUGGAUGCCCAUAUUGGUUCCUACAUAUUCUACGAAGAUCUUUAUCGGUCAAACCGCAUAACAACAUACGUUGUUCCCUUUGUCAUCGGUAUGUUACUUGCCCGAGAUUUGAUCGUCGGUAUCCAAUACCUAGUUCAAUCUCGUUACCGGCAAGUCUCUUUACUCGUUCCGUAAUGCGUCAUCCCGUAACCAACUCAUUUGGUCACAUUGCUUGCAAGGCUUAUAAUGAUGUGCAUUACCGAGAGGGCCCAGAGAUACCUCUCCGACAAUCGGAGUGAAAAAACCUAAUCUCGAAAUACGCCAACUCAACAUGUACCUUCGGAGACACCUGUAGUACUCCUUUAUAAUCACCCAGUUACGUUGUGAUGUUUGGUAGUACCCAAAGUGUUCCUCCGGUAAACGGGAGUUGCAUAAUUCUCAUAGUUACAGGAACAUGUAUAAGUCAUGAAGAAAGCAAUAGCAAUAUACUAAACGAUCAAGUGCUAGGCUAACGGAAUGGGUCAUGUCAAUCACAUCAUUCUCCUAAUGAUGUGAUCCCAUUAAUCAAAUGACAACACAUGUCUAUGGUUAGUAAACAUAACCAUCUUUGAUUAAUGAGCUAGUCAAGUAGAGGCAUACUAGUGACUAUAUGUUUGUCUAUGUAUUCACACAUGUAUCAUGUUUCUGGUUAAUACAAUUCUAGCAUGAAUAAUAAACAUUUAUCAUGAUAUGAGGAAAUAAAUAAUAACUUUAUUAUUGCCUCUAGGGCAUAUUUCCUUCAGAGGCAAUACCUGGUGCUUCGGCUGUAACACCUUCCGAAGCAGAGAUACAUGAAACACCGGAUGCACUUUACUGUCUGUUGGUAAAUCAAGCCGGUAAGCCACUGCCCCGAUGCGCUCCACUAUCUCAAACGGCCCAUAGAACUUGAAUACCAGCUUAUGAUUGGCCUGUGGAGCAACUGAGGACUGUAAGUAAGGCUGAAGCUUCAGAAAAACAUGUUCUCCUACUGCAAACUCACGAUCACUCCGAUGUUUGUCGGCUUGUGUUUUCAUUUGCUGUUGUGCUCGCAAUAAGUGCUGUCGAACAAACUCCAAAAUGGUCUGACGGUCUGCAAGCCGUUGAUGCAAAUCUUCAGACUGAAUCGUAUCAUCUGCAGCCAACCCAAAGUGUCGCGGCGCAUGUCCAUAUAUGAUCUCAAAUGGAGUUUUCCCAGUAGCCGAGUGCCAGUUAGUGUUAUACCAGAACUCACAUAACGGAAUCCAUUUGGCCCAGUGAGAGGGAUGAGCACUAACGAAACAGCGAAGGAAGCACUCGACCUGCUGGUUAACUCUCUCUAUUUGUCCGUCAGAUUGCGGGUGACGAGCUGUGCUCAUUCUGAGCAAAACACCACACUUCUGAAACAAUUCCUUCCAAAACUUGCUGGUAAACACUCGAUCACGGUCUGAAACUAUGGAUAUAGGCAUACCAUGCAGCUUAUAAACCGUAUUCAAAAACGCUUCAGCCACAGUUUCUGUCGUAAACGGGUGAUGUAAUGGAAUAAAAUGCCCAUACUUGGACAACUUAUCAAUCAUCACCAGCAAGCAAUUGAAUCAACCAGAUACUGGAAGGCCUUUGACAAAAUCCAUUGUGACCAUUUCCCAAGGCGUGUUUGGAACAGGCAAAGGCUGCAGCAAACCUGGAUAUGGCACUCGCUCGGGUUUUGCUUGCUGACACACUAAGCAAUGCUGCACAUAAUCUUUCACAAAACCCCUGAUACCUUUCCAACGAAACAACUGACGAACUCUUCUGUAAGUAACUGGGAAUCCAGAAUGUCCCCCAAUAGGACUGUCAUGGAAAGCAGCCACAAUCUUUGCUUGCAGUUCAGGACACUGGCCUACCCAAACACAUUUGUCUUUCCUGAGGAUCCCAGCUCGAAGAGAAAAUUUGAUGUCAGAGUUGGGAGCAGCAGCUAGCUUUUGCAACAACUCAGAAGCAAACUGAUCAGAUUGAUAGCUAUGCACAAUCUCUUGCAACCAUGCAGGCUGAACAGAAACAACAGUAUGCAACUCAGGUAACACAUCGUUCCCAGUAUGUGGUCUUCGCGAAAGAGAGUCAGCAGCACUGUUCUCAGUCCCCUUCUUAUAAGCAAUAGUGUAUUGCAAGCCCAACAGCUUAGUAAGUGCUUUCUGCUGCCAUUUAGUGUGUAACCUCUGUUCAGUUAAACUGGCCAAACUGCGCUGAUCAGUUCUGAUAAUAAAUUCAGAAACCUGAAGAUACUGGCGCCACUGCUCAACUGCCAAUAGAAUUGCCAAAUAUUAUUUUUCAUAAACUGAUAAGGUUUGAUUCCUGGGCCCAAGUGUCUUACUGACAUAAGCCAAAGGGUGACCACUUGCAUAAGCACAGCACCCACCCCAACAUCACAAGCAUCUGUCUCCACAACAAAAGUUUUUGAAAAAUCAGGAAGAGCCAAAACUGGAGCUGACACCAAAGCUUGUUUCAGCAGAACAAAAGCUUGUUGCUCUACAUUUGUCCAAUGAUAAGGAACACCUUUCUUCAAGAGAUUGGACAAUGGUUUGCUCAUCAUUCCAUAAUGAGAAAUGAACUUCCUAUAGUACCCAGCUAGCCCCAAAAAUCCCCUGACUUCCUUAGCAGAAACUGGUACUGGCCAUUCUUGAAUAGUAGAGAUUUUAGCAGGGUCUGUAGCUACUCCUUCCCCACUAAUAACAUGCCCCAGAUAGCUAAUUUUUGUCUGAGCAAAGGCACAUUUGGAAAGCUUCACAUGCCAUUUGUGUUGUUCCAACAAAGACAACACUUGAGCCAGGUGUUCCAAGUGUUGAGCAUAAGUUUUACUGAAUAUGAGGAUAUCAUCAAAGAAAACCACUGCACGAACCCUCAGAACAGGUGACAAAGUGUCACACAUUGCAAAGUUGAAUGUAUUAGGUCCACCAGUCAAACCCAUUGAGACCACCAAAAAUUCAUAAUGACCAGUGUGUGUUUGGAAAGCAGUUUUGUACUCUUCUCCAGGGGCCAAUCUUAUCUGGUGAUACCCAGCCCUCAAAUCCAGUUUAGAGAACCAACUGGAUCCUGCCAACUCAUCCAACAAUUCAUCAAUAACUGGAAUAGGGAAUUUACUCUUUACUGUCAAAGUAUUGAGAUGUCUGUAAUCAAUAACAGGCCUCCAUGUCUUGUCCUUAUUUUGUACCAAAAUCAUGGGAGAAGAGAAUGGACUAUUGAUGUGUCUAAUAAUACCAGAGGACAGCAUUUCUUGAACUUGUUUUUCUAACUCAUCCUUAAGCACAGGAGCCAAUCAAUAAGGUCUUAUUGAAAAGGGUUGAGCUCCAAGAAGUAAUGGAAUUGUAUGGUCAUAUUUUCUCCUUGGAGGCAAUCCUUUGGGGACCUAAAAGACUGAACUGAAUUUCGACAACACCUGUUGAAUCUCUGCAGGUAACUCAACUGAAACUGUAUCAUUGCCCACAAGCAAUGCAGAUAAUUCAACCAGAGCAAAAAUUUGAGGAGCUGCAUCCUGUCCUAGCAGCGUCACCAGUUCACCUUGUAACUGAAACGAGAGCCAGUGCUCAGCCCAAUCCACCUGCAUAGGGCUAUGACUUGCUAGCCAGUCCAGACCUAGUAUUCCAUCAUAAGAUCCCAACGGAAAUACUUUAAAAACACCGACAAACUCAUGCCCUGCACAAUACCAUUGCCCUUUUUGCAGUUGUUGAUUGCAUGGCACAAGAGAGCCAUUAGCCACCUUAACCAUAGACACAGGCAUAGGGACAAUAUGCUGUAAUUUACUGGCCAUAGUACAGUCCACAAACGAGUGUGUACUGCCAGAGUCCACCAAGAAAAUCAUCGGUAGGCCCUGUAACUGAACUUUCAGUUUCAUAGUUGUAGUUGCAGGAGCAGAAUUGUCCCCCAGAGCAGCAGCAGAUAAGAAUAUUGCAUUGGCCUCACCAACAACUUAUUCUUCAGUGUCACUGACAUCAGAUGGCAUAUUUUGAACAUAAUCAAGCAUUUCCUGUACGACAUGCAGUUGUACUUCUUGUUUGCAAUGAUGGUCUCGAGCCCAUCGUUCUCCACAGAUGAAACAAAGCCCUUUUGAUUUGCGAUAAGCUCUGAGUGAAGCCCAUCGGUCAUCUGAAGCUGAUGUUAUUCGACUGUUGUCGGGUAACUUCUUCUCCUCAGUGAUGCGAGCUACAGUGGAACGACUUGCUGGUGAUACUGUCGAACGCUUAGUGCCGGCUGAUCCAUUCCCUGCAAACAGAGAUUGAUCGCCCAGUUCUUCAGAUAAGAGCGCCAGUGCAUAAGCAGAGUCUAGAUCAACUGGUUGCUGGAUCCCGACCAACAGACGUACCGACGGUACCAGUCCUUCCAUGAACCGAGUGACAUAGUGGACAGCACUUGGGUUAGACUCAUAUGUAGUUAACUGAUCAUACAAUUCUGAAAAACGCUCAACGUAAUCCUCCACUGUGCUUGUUUGCCUGAUAUGAAACAUCUGACGUACCAGGUUCUGGUGCUUAUUGCAUCCGAAAUGAGACUGUAACAGCCCACAAAAUUUAGACCAAUUGACGUGCGGUGCUCGACGCUGAACUGAUUCUAACCAACGAGCUGCAGUUCCCUCAAAUUGCGAAGACGCAAACGAAAUCCACUGGUUCUGAAGAGUAUUCCAAAAUCUAAAAUAGUCCUCACAACGAGACUGCCACAGUUUCGGAUUCGAACCAUCAAAUCGAGAAAGCUCAAUUCGAGGACCAAAAUUCACCGCAUCCGGAAGGAAGGUUCGAAAAUUCUCAGUAGCAGGAAUCAGAUGUCGCGACGGGGAUGGGUCCGUGUGCAUACCUCGAACUGGAGGAGGAACAUAACGGGGACCUGAGCUCCUCUGCUCCAAUUCCGCUCGAGCCCCUUUCGCCCCGGUCGAACCACCGCUCGCCGGUGCUGGCGGGGGUCCUUGACCAGGUUCCCUCGGUGAGACGGGUGUCGACGUCGCCGGGGUAGAUCCUCGUUCGCCCCCAAGUUCGCUGCGCAACUCGUCGAGGUCGACGCCGAUGGCGAGUUUGACGUCGUCGAGUUGACCGGAGAGCUGAUCCAAUUUGCUGUCCAGCUUGGCGAAGGCGUUGACCACCUCCUCGCUGCGCUCCGUCGAGGCCUUGGCGAGGGCGGCGUCGAAGUCCGCGCGCAGGAACUCGUAGAUUGUGCGGGUCUCCGGGGAAAUUUUUUCCAUGGUUUCCGCUCGGCGAUGCACGGCGAGGCAGGUGUGGCGGGGAAGAUUGGUCGGCUCCAGGAUUGAACGGCUCUGAUGCCAGAUUAUGAGGUCUAGGGUUUGUAUUUAGUCAUGGCCAUGGAUUCGAGCUACAAGGAGGGAUUACACGAGGAAUUGCUCUCGCAGGAGCCACACACCACACACGCUACCUAGUCGUUAUCCUCUCGCCGCCUUCGUCCGCCUUGAACUGGAGUAUAUGUAGCGAAACGUUCUAGGCCCAUUCUGGCCCAGCUAGCCGAGCCGGGAGGCGAGGCUGCCUCCUGGGCCUGCACGCCUCGUCAGCUAGCUUCUGGCCCACCACAGGUUCGCUGACAAUCCCACCCUCUUUAGAAACGGCUUGACCCCAAGCCGGUGCCCGCGGAAAUUUUUGCUGCAGUGUCACCUUGUCCUCCCAGGUGGCCAUGUCGAUUGGAGUUGCACUCCACUUAACCAGUACUUGAACCAGAGACCCGGAUCCUCGGCGAACCACUCUUUGAUCCAAGAUCUGCUCAAGGAUUUGAAACUGAUCAUCAGGAUUAGGUAGUUGAGGCUGUUGGGGAAUCGUAGUAAUUUCAAAAAAGUACAUGGAAGGCAAUUUAGAUAAAUCGGAGCACAUUUGUCAAGUUGUUGUAAGAAUAAAAGGACAACUUCACAUUAUUCUUAUAGGCUAGAUGGUCUUUGAUGGACGCAGAACACAUGUGAUGAAUAUACAACAAGUUGAAGGAAAGCUAGAACUAUUUUUCUAUCUGAAGAUGUUAUGGUUUCAGAAACCAGUCAAGUAUGUUGCCUUUGUAAAGAAUGCUACGGUGGAGAUGCUACUUAUAUUGCUUGUGAUAAUUGUGAAGGUUAGAUAAGUUUACAUUGAUGGUAUGUUUCACAAGAGAACUUCCUUUGAUCACACAUAAAUGUGUUGAGUUCCUUUCCAUCACAUUGAUUAGUUUCGUUGUCCUUAAAAUCAGAUAAUGGGAUUAUAACACUGAAGGAAAGAACCUAUAGCUUUCCAUGGUUGGUGCAGUACUGGUUUUUGGUUACCCUGUGCCAUUAUUGUCGAUUAUACAGUCUAGAUAUUAUUUUCUUUCAUAUCUUCCCAGACCGAGAAUUGUAUUCUUUUUAUGCAGACAAACAAUGUGCUUAUGUGGUGAGGUACCUUUCUUAUAAAUCGUAAAUAUAUGAGGUGAUAUAUAUUUUAUAAAGAGUCAGUAUUAAAAAACUCAUAUAGUAAAGUUUGCCCACACAUCACUAAUGUGGCAUGCACCACAGUCUUGCGUCGAACUAGAUAACCAUAUAUACUGAACCAAUUCGUGCGUCCUUCUCCAUUGCACAAACAACAUCAGAUUGUGGUAGCUCAGGUAUCAUGUAUAUAUAAUGGUGAACAUCAUGCCAGCAUCUAUGUGUGCCAUGUGUUUGACAAGUUGCAGACGGGGAUUUGUUGUAGCCUACCAAUCUGCCAUAUUUGCUAUGCACGAGCCAGUAGGGAUCCAUCUCUCUGCAUGUGCAACCCUACUAACAUAUGAUUGAAAUAAAUGAUAAGCAGAAGAAGUUCGAUCCCCAAUUUAUGACCAAAUAUUUUAUAUCGCGUAUACACCCACUCUUAAGCACUGUUUGCACAAACAUGCUUAUCCUUUGUCAAUCAUACAGGAUCUACUUCGGAUUUUGUAUGUUGUCAGUUUGGUACAUCCCUUAAAGACAUGUUCUGUAUGAAACAGAAUUCUUUCAUCGUUGCUUACAAGCUUUGUCUGAUUUUAUUAGAAACAUUAUGAUUUCCAUCGACAAUAUGGACACAUGCAUACUUAAACACACUGAGAUUUGUCUAUUCUUAUUUGAAACUUCAACUCAAAUGAGUGGAUGCACAUUUAGAUCCCGCCACGACGCUCUGCUUGCAAAACUGCACAUGUAGAUCCCGCCUCGGGGGCGGCGCGCAGGUGCGGAAGCGGAGGCGGCUAGGGUUUAGGAUCGACUUGCGACAGAUACCAUGUUAGAAGGGAGAGAGAGGAAUUGGUGGAAUUGUUCGUUGUAUUGCUUGAGCCUCGUGGGCAUAUAAAUAGGAGUACAAUGAUCAACUUGGAGUACAAGACAAGGCAGGACAAAUUCUAGUCUAUCUUAUGUUUCCUAAUUAAUCUAUAUACUCAACAGACACGAACAAGCUAGCCUCAGAGCAAUCCGAUACAGACCAGACCACAAACAGAUUGGAUAAGGUAGAAAGAGACAAGGGUACUUUGGUCCUUUCAGGUGCCAGAAAAUUGAAAAGAAAAAGAAAAGUAAUUAAAAAGGAAAAAUGGCAUAGUAGUAAUCAAAGAGCACACGAACUAGGCGGCAUUUUUACGAAGCCAAUGUUGAGAGUGGCAGUUUUGCGAAGCCCGAUAGAUCCCGCCACGACGCUCUGCUUGCAACUGCACCAGCUUACUGCCCCACCAUUCAAAAUAUACACGUAUCCGGUUUGUGACUUAGAGUCAUCCAGAUCUGUGUCAAAGCUAGCGUCAACGUAACCCUUUACGACGAGCUCUUCGUCACCUCCAUAUACGAGAAACAUAUCCUUAGUCCUUUUCAGGUACUUAAGGAUGUUCUUGACCACUAUCCAGUGUUCCAUGUCGGGAUUACUUUGGUACCUUCCUACCAAACUUACGGCAAGGUUUAUAUCAGGUCUGGUACAGGUCAUGGCAUACAUGAUAGACCCUAUGGCUGAGGCAUAGGGGACGACACUCAUCUUUUCUCUAUCUUCUGCCGUGGUCGGGCAUUGAACCGAGCUCAAUUUCACACCUUGCAACACAGACAAGAACCCCUUCUUGGACUGAUCCAUAUUGAACUUCUUCAAUAUCUUAUCAAGGUAUGUGCUUUGUGAUAGACCUAUGAGGCGUCUUGAUCUAUCUCUAUAGAUCUUGAUGCCUAAUAUGUAAGCAGCUUCUCCAAGGUCCUUCAUUGAAAAACAUUAUUCAAGUAGGCCUUAAUGUUGUCCAAAAGUUCUAUAUCAUUUCCCGUCAAAAGUAUGUCAUCCAGAUAUAAUAUGAGAAAUGCUACAGAGCUCCCACUCACUUUCUUGUAAACGCAGGCUUCUCCAUAAGUCUGCAUAAACCCAAACACUUUAAUCAUCUCAUUAAAGCGAAUGUUCCAACUCCGAGAUGCUUGCACCAGCCCAUAGAUGGAGCGCUGGAGCUUGCAUACCUUGUUAGCAUUCUUAAGGUCGACAAAACCUUCCGGCUGCAUCAUAUACAGUUCUUCCUUAAGAUGACCGUUAAGGAAUGCCGUUUUGACGUCCAUUUGCCAUAUCUCAUAAUCAUAGUAUGUGGCAAUUGCUAACAUGAUUCGGACGGACUUCAGCUUUGCUACAGGAGAGAAUGUCUCAUCGUGGUCAAUCCCUUGAACUUGUCUAUAACCCUUAGCGACAAGUCGAGAUUUAUAUAUGGUAACAUUACCAUCCGCGUCCAUCUUCUUCUUAAAGAUCCAUUUGUUUUCUAUUGCUCGCCGAUCAUCGGGCAAGUCUGUCAAAGUCCAUACUUUGUUUUCAUACAUGGAUCCUAUCUCAGAUUUCAUGGCUUCAAGCCAUUUGUUGGAAUCUGGGCCCACCAUCGCUUCUUCAUAGUUCGAAGGUUCACCAUUGUCUAACAACAUGAUUUCCAAGAUAGGGUUGCCGUACCACUCUGGUGCGGAACGUGUCCUUGUAGACCUUCGAAGUUCAGUAGGAGUUUGAUCCGAAGUAUCUUCAUCAUCAUUAUUAACCUCCUCUCUUGUCAGUGCAGGCACCACAGGAACAUCUUCCUGAGUUGCGCUACUUACCGUUUCAAGAGGUAGUACUUCAUCAAGCUCUACUUUCCUCCCACUUAAUUCUUUCGAGAGAAUCUCCUUCUCUAGAAAAGACCCGUUCUUGGCAACAAAGAUUUUGCCCUCGGAUCUUAAGUAGAAGGUAUACCCAAUGGUUUCCUUAGGGUAUCCUAUGAAGACGCAUUUUUUCGACUUGGGUUCGAGCUUCUCAGGUUGAAGUUUCUUGACAUAAGCAUCGCAUCCCCAAACUUUUAGAAACGAUAGCUUAGGUUUCUUCCCAAACCAUAAUUCAUACGGUGUCGUCUCAACGGAUUUAGACGGUGCCCUAUUUAAAGUGAAUGUAGCUGUCUCUAGAGCGUAUCCCCAAAAUGAUAGCGGUAAAUCAGUAAGUGACAUCAUAGAUCGCACCAUAUCCAAUAAAGUGCGAUUACGAUGUUCGGACACACCAUUUCGCUGAGGUGUUCCAGGCGGCGUGAGUUGUGAAACAAUUCCACAUUUUCUUAAGUGCGUACCAAAUUCAUGACUUAAAUAUUCACCCCCACGAUCUGAUCGUAAGAACCUUAUCUUUCGGUCACAUUGAUUCUCUACCUCAUUCUGGAAUUCCUUGAACUUUUCAAAGGUCUCAGACUUGUGUUUCAUCAAGUAGACAUACCCAUAUCUACUCAAGUCAUCAGUGAGAGUGAGAACAUAACGAUAUCCUCCGCGAGCCUCAACGCUCAUUGGACCGCACACAUCAGUAUGUAUAAUUUCCAAUAAGUUGGUUGCUCGCUCCAUUGUUCCGGAGAACGGAGUCUUGGUCAUUUUGCCCAUGAGGCAUGGCUCGCAUGUGUCAAACGAUUCAUAAUCUAGAGACUCUAAAAGUCCAUCAGCAUGGAGCUUCUUCAUGCGCUUGACACCAAUGUGACCAAGGUGGCAGUGCCACAAGUAUGUGGGACUAUCGUUAUCAACUUUACAUCUUUUGGUAUUCACACUAUGAAUAUGUAUAACAUUACGCUCGAGAUUCAUUGAGAAUAAACCAUUCACCAGCGGGGCAUGACCAUAAAACAUAUCACUCAUAUAAAUAGAACAACCAUUAUUCUCAGAUUUAAAUGAGUAGCCAUCUCGAAUUAAACGAGAUCCUGAUACAAUGUUCAUGCUCAAAUCUGGUACUAAACAACAAUUAUUGAGGUUUAAAACUAAUCUCGUAGGUAAAUGUAGAGGUAGCGUGCCGACGGCGAUCACAUCGACCUUGGAACCAUUCCUGACGCGCAUCGUCACCUCGUCCUUCGCUAGUCUCCGCUUAUUCCGCAGCUCCUGCUUUGAGUUACAAAUAUGAGCAACCGCACCGGUAUCAAAUACCCAGGAGCUACUACGAGCACCGGUAAGGUACACAUCAAUUACAUGUAUAUCACAUAUACCUUUGGUUUUGCUGGCCUUCUUGUCCGCUAAGUACUUGGGGCAGUUCCGCUUCCAGUGACCACUUCCCUUGCAAUAAAAGCACUCAGUCUCAGGCUUGGGUCCAUUGUUUGACUUCUUCCCGGCAACUGGAUUACCGGGCGCGGCAACUCCCUUGCCGUCCUUCUUGAAGUUCUUCUUACCCUUGCCUUUCUUGAACUUAGUGGUUUUAUUCACCAUCAACACUUGAUGUUCCUUUUUGAUCUCUACCUCUGCUGAUUUCAGCAUUGAAUAUACCUCAUGAAUGGUCUUUUCCAUCCCCUACAUAUUAAAGUUCAUCACAAAGCUCUUGUAGCUUGGUGGGAGCGACUGGAGGAUCUGUCAAUGACCGCGUCAUCCGGGAGAUUAACUCCCAGCUGAGUCAAGCGGUUGUGCAACGCAGACAUCUUGAGUAUGUGCUCACUAACAGAACUAUUUUCCUCCAUCUUACAUCUGAAGAACUUGUCGGAGACUUCAUAUCCCUCGACCCGGGCAUGAGCUUGAAAAACCAUUUUCACCUCUUCAAACAUCUCGUAUGCUCCGUGUUGCUCAAAACGCUUUUGGAGCCCGGUUCUAAGCUGUAAAGCAUGCCGCGCUGAACGAGGGAGUAAUCAUCAGCACGAGACUGUCAAGCGUUCAUAACGUCUUGGUUCUCUGGGAUUGGUGCUUCACCUAGCGGCGCUUCUAGGACAUAAUCUUUCUUGGCAGCUAUGAGGAUGAUCCUCAGGUUCCGGACCCAGUCCAUAUAGUUGCUGCCAUCAUCUUUCAGCUUGGUUUUCUCUAGGAACGUGUUGAAGUUGAGGUGGACAUGAGCGUUGGCCAUUUGAUCUACAAGACAUUUUGCAAAGGUUUUAGACUAAGUUCAUGAUAAUUAAGUUCAUCUAAUCAAAUUAUUCAAUGAACUCACACUUAGACAGACAUCCCUCUAGUCAUCUAAGUGAAACAUGAUCCGAGUCAACUAGGCCGUGUCCGAUCAUCACGUGAGACGGACUAGUUAACAUCGGUGAACAUAUUCAUGUUGAUCGUAUCUACUAUACGACUCAUGCUUGACCUUUCGAUCUUCCGUGUUCCGAGGCCAUGUUUGUACAUGCUAGGCUCGUCAAGUCAACCUAAGUGUAUUGCGUGUGUAAAUCUGGCUUACACCCGUUGUAAUCGAACGUUAGGAUCUAUCACACCCGAUCAUCACGUGGUGCUUCGAAACAACGAACCUUUGCAAUGGUGCACUGUUAGGGGGAACACUUUUCUUGAAAUUAUUUCAAGGGAUCCUCUUAUUUAAGCUACCGUCGCUCUAAGCAAAACAGAUGUAAAACAUGAUAAACAUCACAUGCAAUCAAAUAGUGACAUGAUAUGGCCAAUAUCAUAUUGCUCCUUUGAUCUCCAUCUUCGGGGCGCCAUGAUCAUGUUUGUCACCGGCAUGACACCAUGAUCUCCAUCAUCAUGAUCUCCAUCAUCGUGUCUUCAUGAAGUUGUCACGCCAACGACUACUUCUACUUCUAUGGCUAACGCGUUUAGCAAUAAAGUAAAGUAAUUUACAUGGCGUUCUUCAAUGACACGCAGGUCAUACAAAAAAUAAAGACAACUCCUAUGGCUCCUGCCGGUUGUCAUACUCAUCGACAUGCAAGUCGUGAUUCCUAUUACAAGAACAUGAUCAUCUCAUACAUCACAUAUAUCAUUCAUCACAUCCUUUGGCCAUAUCACAUCACAAAACACUUGCUGCAAAAACAAGUUAGACGUCCUCUAAUUGUUAUUGCAAGUUUUUACGUGGCUUCUAUAGGUGUUCUAGCAAAAACGUUUCUUACCUACGUAAAACCACAACGUGAUAUGCCAAUUUCUAUUUACCCUUCAUAAGGACCCUUUUCAUCGAAUCCGCUCCAACUAAAGUGGGAGAGACAGAAACCCGCUAGCCACCUUAUGCAACUAGUGCAUGUCAGUCGGUGGAACCUGUCUCACGUAAGCGUACGUGUAAGGUCGGCCCGGGCCGCUUCAUCCCAUGAUGCCGCCGAAGCAAGAUAAGACUAGUAGUGGCAAGAAAAUUAGCAACAUCUACGCCCACAACUGCUUUGUGUUCUACUCGUGCAUAGUAACUACGCAUAAACCUAGCUCAUGAUGCCACUGUUGGGGAACGUUGCAUAAAAUAAAAAAAUUCCUACGUUCACCAUGAUCAAUCUAUGGAGUCAUCUAGCAACGAGAGGGGAGUUCAUCUACAUACCCUUGUAGAUCGCGUGCGGAAGCGUUCAAGAGAAUGGGUUUGAGGGAGUCGUACUCGUCGUGAUCCAAAUCACCGGAGAUCCUAGCAUCGGACGGACGACACCUCCGCGUUCAACACACGUACGGUUGGGAAGACGUCUCCUCCUUCUUGAUCCAGCAAGGGGGAAGGAGAGGUUGAUGAAGAUCCAGCAGCACGACGGCGUGGUGGUGGAUGCAGCACGAUCACGGCAGGGCUUCGCCGAGCUUCUACGAGAGGGAGAGGUGUAGCAGGGGAGAGGGAGGCGCCAAGACUUGGGGUGCGGCGACCCACCCCCCCUCCCCCCUCUUUAUAUAGGCCCCCUAGGGGGGCGGCCCUAGGAGAUGCAAUCUCCAAGGGGGCAGCGGCCAGGGGGGAAACUUGCCCCCCAAGCCAGGUGGAGGCGCCCCCACCCCUAGGGUUUCCAACCCUAGGUGCAGGGGGGCCCAAGGGGGGCGCACCAGCCCACCAGGGGCUGGUUCCCCUCCCACUUCAGCCCAUGGGGCCCUCCGGGAUAGGUGGCCCCACCCGGUGGACCCCCGGGACCCUUCCGGUGGUCCCGGUACAAUACCGGUGACCCCCGAAACUUUCCCGAUGGCCGAAACCUGACUUCCUAUAUAUAAUUCUUCACCUCUGGACCAUUCCGGAACUCCUCGUGAUGUCCGAGAUCUCAUUUAGGACUCCGAACAACUUUCGGGUUACUGCAUACUCAUAUCUCUACAACCCUAGCAUCACCGAACCUUAAGUGUGUAGACCCUACGGGUUCGGGAGACAUGCAGACAUGACCGAGAUGCCUCUCCGGUCAAUAACCAACAGCGGGAUCUGGAUACCCAUGUUGGCUCCCACAUGCUCCUCGAUGAUCUCAUCGGAUGAACCACGAUGUCGAGGAUUCAAUCAAUCCCGUAUACAAUUCCCUUUGUCAAUCGGUACGUUACUUGCCCGAGACUCGAUCGUCGGUAUCCCAAUACCUCGUUCAAUCUCGUUACCGGCAAGUCACUUUACUCGUACCGUAAUGCAUGAUCCCGUGACCAGAAACUUGGUCACAUUGAGCUCAUUAUGAUGAUGCAUUACCGAGUGGGCCCAGAGAUACCUCUCCAUCAUACGGAGUGACAAAUCCCAGUCUCGAUUCAUGCCAACCCAACAGACACUUUCGGAGACACCCGUAGUGCACCUUUAUAGUCACCCAGUUACAUUGUGACGUUUGGCACACCCAAAGCACUCAUACGGUAUCCGGGAGUUGCACAAUCUCAUGGUUUAAGGAAAUGAUACUUGAAAUUUGGGAAAGCUCUAGCGAAGCGAAUUACACGAUCUUUGUGCUAUGCUUAGGAUUUGGUCUUGUCCAUCACAUCAUUCUCCUAAUGAUGUGAUCCCGUUAUCAAUGACAUCCAAUGUCCAUAGUCAGGAAACCAUGACUAUCUGUUGAUCAACGAGCUAGUCAACUAGAGGCUCACUAGGGACUUGUUGUGGUCUAUAUAUUCACACAUGUAUUACGAUUUCCGGAUAAUAUAAUUAUAGCAUGAACAAUAGACAAUUAUCAUGAACAAAGAAAUAUAAUAAUAACCAUUUUAUUAUUGCCUCUAGGGCAUAUUUCCAACAAUGACUGUGCUUCCCACAGAUUCCAUACGUCACAUGAGGAGCUUUGUUGAACUGGAAUCAGACGAACAAACCAAGGGAAAGGUAAAACAUAAUACUGUCCAGAAAGAUUGGGUUCCAUGUCACCACUGCGGUACUGGGUUAAGGGCAGCACGCGACGCCGAGGAGAUCGGUGGCACGCGACGUUGAGGCAAUCAGCGGCGUCGUGACGUCCAGGAGCUGGGGGCGACGUCCAGCGAUAGACCCAAGAGUUCCUGGCGACCAGGGAUGCGGCAAGCACGAUGUUCACGACGGGCAGCACGCACCCGUCCGCUUCAAGUGCUGAUCUGAUGCCAAAGUACGUGAAGAUAGCAUCAGGGGUACUUCGGUCCUUUCAGGUGCCGAAAAAUUGAAAAGAAAAAGAAAAGUAAUUGAAAAAGAAAAAUGGCAUGGUAAUCAAAGUGCACACGAACUAGGUGGCAUUUUUACGAAGCCAAUGUUGAGAGUGGCAGUUUUGCGAAGCCUGAUUUGAAAGUUGCAAAUAGCCGAUUUUCUCGGCUAGGUGCCAGUGGACGGUGCAUCAUGGCGACGCUCAAGACGACCGAGCAUCUCUCAUGAAAGCCCUAUUCACGUGGAUGAUGAAUAAAGAUAAGAGGUUAUUUGCUUAUUUGCGUUUAAGUGAUUGGUUAGCAUUCCCGCCUUUGUGAUCCGUGUCGUUCCCUAUCAAUCCAACAUCCCUCAGUACAAAAUUUCAGAUUUUCACUGAAUGGUCAUUUUCACCUGAUACUUCGUCUUCUUGUUUAGGUUGUUGCAUGCUACUCUCUGUUCUAGUUAUGAAUUAUUUACUGAAACUAAUUUUAAACUUGCCUAAUUUUUCAACAGUUUGUCCACUAACUUUGCCUGCCAAUCCCCUCAAAAAAAUACUUUGCCUGCCAAUUCAAAAUAAAUAAAAACGUACUAUUGGUUUGUCAUUGUUAGAAGGGAGAGAGGGAUUUGAUGGAAUAGUUCGUUGUAUUGCUUGAGCCUUGUGGGCAUAUAUAUAGGAGUACAACGAUCUACUUGGAGUACAAGACAAGCCAGAACAAACCCAAAUCUAUCUUGUCUUUCCUAAUAAUCACGAUACUCAACAUCCCCCCGCAGUCACAACGGUAGCGACGCAGACGGUGAGACUGGAGAAGAAUCCGUAGGCAAGCUGACGGACACCUCCCCACAGUCGUAACGGGCGAUGCAUCGCGGAGUCAUGGCUGGAGUAAAAGCCGACAAGGUUGCUCAAGCAGGCGGUAGCCCUUGGUGCCGUUUAUCGAUGUUGCUGAGAGUGUGGGUGGUGGAGCCGUUGUCGAGGUAGCCGUGCGAAGAAUGUCAUGGUCGAUGUCGAGUCGGAGUAGCCGGUGUCGAGGAAGUCGCCGUAGAGCUGCGGGCGCAAGGAGGCGCCGAGUUAAUCAUGGGCGCAGUGGUGUCGAUGUAGUGGUGCGCCAGAAAGUAGAUGAUGUUGACGACGCAUCACGCUGGGGUUGCCAACCCCGGGGACACAUCGUAAACAAAGGCACGCGUCGGUGUUGCUAGCACCGGGCAUGCGUAGACGGACGAAGACGAAGUUGACGAAGCGUCGCACCAGGCUUGCCAGGCCCGGGGACACGUCAUAGACGAAGGCACGCGGCGGUGCUGCCAGCACCGGGCAUGCGUAGACUGGGACCUGCACGAGCUGUACGCCAUGUCGAAGAAGUCGGAGAGGCCAUCAGAGAAUGACUCGACGACGGUUGCGGCGCCAAUUGGCGCGGGACCAAUGUCACCCGUACUUGUCAGAGUAGAUGAAGCGGUCGAGGUAGAUGACGGCGAUGCUGGCGAUGGGUUGGUGCUGGACAAAGACGAAGGGGAUGGACGGGCGGCUGCGGCGGCUACGGGGUAGCGGCGGCGGCGGCCGAAGAAGAGCGGCGGUGGCGGCCUGAGGCGGCAGCUGGAACCGCGUAUCGCGGCACUACGGCCCGUAGGGGCGACACAGCGGCGACGCGCGAGGAGAACCACGGGGCGGUGGCGCUGCGGCCCGGCGGGGCGACGCAACGGCAGCCCGUUGCUCGACCGGUGGAGCGGCGCGCUGAACUCAGGGACGAUCUUCAUGGGACCUAUGGAGGCGCGCGUAACCGAUGGGCCAGGUCGGUCGCGCGGCGUAGAUGAGGCGGAUCGCGGCGGCGAGCAGGUGAUCAAGCCGAUCGCGCGCGAGGUCGGGGACACCGCUCGGUGGAGGCGGGGUGGCGGCGGAGUCCGAGAUGAGGCCGGCGAUGACAGACAGCGUGGGACGUCGUGUGGACGAGCUUGUCAGCACCGGCACCCGGGCUGCCAAAGCAGUGUCGGCGCUCGGGCAGCGAGGCCUGUGCGACCAACGGAGCACCAGCACCCGAGUUGAGCCAGCCGACGAGCCUGAUGCAGCCAUCCCGACGCAACCGAGGACGAGGCCGACAAGGUAGGCCGCCGGGCUGCCGUCCAGACGCGGUGGAGGCGGGUGGCGUGGAUCGAUUGGCAGGCCGACGCACGGACGGUGGCCACGAUUGGCCGCCGCAUGGCGCGAGGCCGCGGGGUGUAGGCGAUGUAGGUGUCCCGGUCGGAGCAGGGCGGUGACGGUCGGCGCAGGGCGACGGGCGGGCCGGCGCGCGGACGACGGCCUUGAGGGCUGCCUGUCGCGCGAGGCCGCCAGGUCGGUGAAGUAGCCGGCCGGUCGUGCCGGUGUCGAAGUAGAGACGCAGGGUGUCGACGGCGGCGGCGGGCGACGCAAACCGAUCAAGUAUAGAUCGGAAAACCAAAAAGAAAGAUGCCGAUCAAAACGACCGGCGAGAAAGCGAAAAAACCCGGAGCAAGGGCUCGGGAAAAAGACUGUAGGGCAGCCGGGCAACACGGCCGGCGGACGAACCCUAGGUACGGGCGGCGCGGGCCCCGGCGGCGGCCAUGGAGGCCGACCGCCCCGGGGGCGGCGCGCGGGUGCAGAAGCGGCAACGGCUAGGGUUUUGGGAUUGAGAUAAGGCUGAUACCAUGUUAGAAGGGAGAGAGGAAUUUGGUGGAAUAGUUCAUUGUAUUGCUUGAGCCUCGUGGGCAUAUAUAUAUAGAAGUAUAUUGAUCUAUUUGGAGUAUAAAACAAGCCAGAAGAAAUCCUACUUUCUAAUAAUCACGAUACUCAACAGUCAUGAAGGGUAGUUUAGUAUGGGUAUAAAAGAGGUAUUUGAAGCUCCAGACUAGGAAAUGAUAGUUGUAAACUACCAGUAAGGAAAAUGUAUCAAAAUCAUCAUAUUAUGCAGUGCAAAUCUAUAAUAUCUAAAUAGUUCAUUCCCACUAUACUAUUUCUCUUGACAUGUAGCAUGUCCACCUCAGCAUAGUGCCACCUCAGCAAUCAUUUUUCUUUUUAUUUCAUCAAACUGUCUAAUUCAACUCUGGACAUCAUCUCCCGCAAAAAGAAAAAAAGAA
rnacentral:lncRNA from 1 species